AUCAAACGCAGUCAUGCUUGCAGGAGGAAUGUGAAACUUGGAAAUUGUCAUGUCCAUUGCAGCUCCUUGUUCAACAAAGAGAGAGAGCAAUUGUACAAAGACUCCAGACGACAAAAGGGUGCAGCACCAAAUUGGCAAUAGUCUCAGUAUACAUUUCACUUCCUCAACCUGAGUGACGGUACAAAGAUGCCAUGGAUUUGGAGUUUGGCCUUUGUCUUGCACCAAGCUCAUGUCCUUUGGGGUGAUAAUGGCAGCUCUAUCAAGGAACCUGCUAGUCAGGGGAAGAAAAAACAGGUCACAAUUCUCAAAGGGAUCAAAACGAGUAACUUACAAUGAUAAGGACGACUUGAAAUGUGACACAAGUGAGGUAUCUUCCCAAAUAAGAGUCACUAAGAAAGGCACCGAUUAAAGAGAAGAGAUAGGUGGUUCCCAUCCAUCUGCUAAAUGUAUUUGAUGCCUCGGCAUUGGUCUGUUUUAGUACAGAUUUGGAGAAAAGAACCAUAUUCACUUCCACUCCAACGUAUGCCAGAGUAACAAGUCCUUGAUUCGCUGUUCCAAUAAAAAAUGAAAAAAAAAAUCUGUUACAAGUGUGUGAGUAAUCUUCAGUAAGCAUGACUCAAUUCAAUUCAAUGAAUAUUUCGACA